rnacentral:lncRNA from 1 species
CUCCUUCAUUCUAAAGAGUUCAUAUUCAUGUGUUAGAAAAUCAACUCUUGCUUCUCGGACUUCAGGCGUACCUUCAUAAGUGACCUCAAGCUUAUCCCACAUCUUCUUGGCGGUUGUGCAGCAAGAAAUCUUCCGAUAGUCAUCGGAUUCACCGCACAAUACAACAUAUUGAUGGCCUUUGCGUUAUUUUCAACCUUCUUGAUGUC